AGCUUUGCACAGUGGCUACUAGUAUUGUAGCCAAUGAGAUUAAUCCGAGGCAUGAUUAUUGCUAAUUGAAGAAUUAAUUUGAUCUGUGGAACUAAUUUCCUGGGGUGAAUAAUAUUUAAUAUAGAACUUUCA
rnacentral:snRNA from 1 species